rnacentral:rRNA from 1 species
UACAUCGGAACAUGUCCUGUAGUGGGGGAUAGCCCGGCGAAAGCCGGAUUAAUACCGCAUACGAUCUAYGGAUGAAAGCGGGGGACCUUCGGGCCUCGCGCUAUAGGGUUGGCCGAUGGCUGAUUAGCUAGUUGGUGGGGUAAAGGCCUACCAAGGCGACGAUCAGUAGCUGGUCUGAGAGGACGACCAGCCACACUGGGACUGAGACACGGCCCAGACUCCUACGGGAGGCAGCAG